GCGGCAGCGCGGGACUCGGGCAACCGAGUCCUGGCGGCGAGGGGAACGGGUGAGUAAUACAUCGGAACGUGUCCUGGAGUGGGGGAUAGCCCGGCGAAAGCCGGAUUAAUACCGCAUACGCUCUAAGGAGGAAAGGGGGGGAUCUUAGGACCUCUCGCUCAAGGGGCGGCCGAUGGCAGAUUAGCUAGUUGGUGGGGUAAAGGCCUACCAAGGCGACGAUCUGUAGCUGGUCUGAGAGGACGACCAGCCACACUGGGACUGAGACACGGCCCAGACUCCUACGGGAGGCAGCAGUGGGGAAUUUUGGACAAUGGGCGCAAGCCUGAUCCACAAUGCCGCGUGUGUGAAGAAGCCUUCGGGUUGUAAAGCACUUUUGUCCGGAAAGAAAACCCCUGUUUUUUUUUUUGCGGGGGGAUGACGGUACCGGAGAAUAACCACCGGCUAACUA
rnacentral:rRNA from 1 species